rnacentral:rRNA from 1 species
UUGAAAGCGGCGGACGGGUGAGUAACGCGUGGGUAACCUGCCCAUACAAGGGAUAGCCACUGGAAACGGUGAUUAUACCUUAUAAACUGAGUAUCACAUGAACAGCAGUCAAAGAUCCAGCGGUACGAGAUGGACCCGCGUCUGAUUAGCUAGUUGGUAGGUAACGGCCUACCAAGGCGACGAUCAGUAGCCGACCUGAGAGGGUGAUCGGCCACACUGGACUGAGACACGGUCAGACUCCUACGGAGCAGCAGUGGGAAUAUUGCACAAUGGGCGCAAGCCUGAUGCAGCAACGCCGCGUGAGCGAAGAAGGCUUUCGGAUCGUAAAGCUCUGUCCUAAGGGAAGAAAAAUGACGGUACCUUAGGAGGAAGCCCCGGCUAACUACGUGCCAGCAGCCGCGGUAAUACGUAGGGGGCAAGCGUUAUCCGGAAUCACUGGGCGUAAAGGGUGCGUAGGCGGUUAAUCAAGUCAGAAGUGAAAGGCAAUGGCUCAACCAAAGUAAGCUUUUGAAACUGAUUAACUUGAAUACAGGAGAGGUAAGUGGAAUUCCUAGUGUAGAGGUGAAAUGCGUAGAGAUUAGGAGGAACACCAGUGGCGAAGGCGACUUACUGGACUGUAACUGACACUGAGGCACGAAAGCGUGGGAGCGAACAGAUAGAUACCCUGGUAGUCACGCGUAAACGAUGAAUACUAGGUGUCGGGCGUCAAACCUCGGUGCCGCAGCUAACGCAUUAAGUAUUCCGCCUGGGGAGUACGCACGCAAGUGUGAAACUCAAAGGAAUUGACGGGGACCCGCACAGCAGCGAGCAUGUGGUUUAAUUCGAAGCAACGCGAAGAACCUUACCAAAUCUUGACAUCCCUCUGACCGACUCUUAAUCGAGUCUUCUCUUCGGAGCAGAGGUGACAGGUGGUGCAUGGUUGUCGUCAGCUCGUGUCGGAGAUGUUGGGUUAAGUCCCGCAACGAGCGCAACCCUUGUCUUUAGUUGA